GAUGAACGCUGGCGGCGUGCCUAAUACAUGCAAGUCGAGCGAACAGACGAGGAGCUUGCUCCUCUGACGUUAGCGGCGGACGGGUGAGUAACACGUGGAUAACCUACCUAUAAGACUGGGAUAACUUCGGGAAACCGGAGCUAAUACCGGAUAAUAUAUUGAACCGCAUGGUUCAAUAGUGAAAGACGGUUUUGCUGUCACUUAUAGAUGGAUCCGCGCCGCAUUAGCUAGUUGGUAAGGUAACGGCUUACCAAGGCAACGAUGCGUAGCCGACCUGAGAGGGUGAUCGGCCACACUGGAACUGAGACACGGUCCAGACUCCUACGGUAGGCAGCAGUAGGGAAUCUUCCGCAACGGGCGAAAUACUGACGGAGCAACGCAGCGUGAGUGAUGAAGGUCUUCGGAUCUAAAAGCUCUGUUAUUAGGGAAAAAAAAAUGUGUAAGUAACUAUGCACGUCUUGACGGUACCUAAACAGAAAGCCACGGCUAACUACGUG
rnacentral:rRNA from 1 species